rnacentral:lncRNA from 1 species
UCUCUACAAUUUUAAUCUCCUCACCCCUGAGAUCAAUGAUCGCAAAUCCAUUGUGCAUACAAGCUGCCAAGACUACACCAGGUACAUGAGGAUGUUGUUUGAUUCUCCAAACUCCUCCCCCCAAGCAGAUUGAACUCUGAUUUACAGGUUUUGAGAUCGAUCUUAUAUCCCAAACUCUAAUGUGUUCAUCGUAGCUACCAGUAAGGACGACAUUAGGGUCAGAUAUGCUCUUCGUGAUGCAGCAAACACCCAUUUUAUGUUCCCUGGAAUUUCGGAACACUAAAUUUGAGGGACAGUCGCGGAUAUCCCAACAGCUGAAUUUACAGUCAUCAGAGCCUGUGUAUAUCAAGUGGGGUUGGUGGGUAUCGAAGGAAGCUGCCCACAACUCAAAAUCAUGUGCUUUCCAUUCUUGCUCAAUUUCAAGUUCAGUCUCGGAGCGAGAUAAUAGUGAGACAGAGCCAUCAGAAAGCCCCACUACUACCGAUGUAGCUGAAGGACUCCAAUCCAGGCAUAGGCACAUAGAAGAACUGACUUUUGCACCGGUGCCCUCUCUCAACACGAGACCUGCAUCUGGUCCAUCUCAAGUCAUUAAUACAGUGGGAACAUCAAAAUGUCAAAGACACAGUUGACCUGUGCCAACCAACCUAUCACUUGCAAAAGAGAAGUUCAACAUUACUAAAUUAUAACAAUCAUCGAUGUCAAUGUCUAGAAGAGUGUAUUUAUUUUGGCAGGACAAUGACACAUUCAAAUGAUGAGUACAGGAAUGCUGCCAAAUAAUUGUAUGCCCAUUAUUAUAACACUGAAGAACAAUUCCAUUACAAUACCAGACAUAAUGCAAAACGAAGGGAAGAUAGCGGGUACCCUUUUCUUCUGGUCCAUCUGAAGAACUCUCCAAGCUAUAAACUUUGACACAACCAUCCGAGUCAGCUUGUGCCAGCAAGGGACGUCCAAUAUUAGCUUCAACAGGGCUCCAUUUGAUAUCAAAAAUACCAGUGGAUUCCAGACAGUGUAAUAAAUCAAGUUGACCUGAACCAGCAUUGACAUUGAAGAGUACUAUGCUGCCAGAUCGAGAAGGAUUAUCGCCUUCUUGCAGCGUGUAAGUCGAAGCUGCUAGAACAUGAUUGUAAGAAUCAUGUGGACAAAAUUCAACUGCAUCUGUGUUUCCGUUGAGGUAGAAAUGUGCAAUGUCCAUACCUAGUAAACCAAAUGGAGUGCAACUUGUCAAGUAACUUUUUGGCUAUGACUUUUUUUGUUUCUUUUUCUUCUUUUUUUGGUUUUGGAGGUGUGCAUGGUGCAAGUUUCAGCUCAUAUGCACUCUACUGCGAAUAGUAAUCAAAUGCAUAGAAGUAACAAUUAUUCUGAGAAGUGUUUGAACUGCAGGAGCUUUUACAACAAAACAAAACGUCCAUCCAAAGCAAUUCAACAAUUCAUAUCCUAGCGGUCAAAGGAACUCCAAUAUGACUUGAGUCUGCUUAGUAGUGUGGAGUAGCCUGCCUGUAGAGACAUUUGAUGUAUAUGGAACUCACUAUCUUUUUUGGAGUUUACUCACACCUUUGACAAAUUACCCUCACUUCUUAAAAAUUAUCCCAUCGCAAAUGAAACUCCGUGAUUUCAGUCAUAAUCUUAAACUCGUACGCAUUAAAGCAGUGACCGAGGAAGAGGACAAGGAGUUCUUUGGCCUACAAGACACGUGGGACGGAUUGGUACAAUGUUAUUGUUUUUCUAAGUGUUCCAGGAGUUCUUUUUUGGAGCUAACUUACUGCAGGCCUAGACUUCACCCAGCUGCCUGUCCUAGAGAUUCUUUCACCAGCAAGUCUCAACUUCAGUCAGUGAAAAUACCAUGGAAGAGUGAUGAAUUGAAAAUUGGAAAAUGCCAAAGUGUGCCUUUUAGGUACUUGUUAAGCAUUGUUAAAUAUGGUAUGAAAUUCAAAAAUGUAAAUUCGAAGUAAGUGAUUUUACUAAAAUGCAUAAUUCAUUCAUUUUGAAAAUGUCUUGAAAAGCGUUAGUUAUUUCUACUUGCAGUUAGCUUGUUAACAAAGACCCUUCAAAACUUAGUCAGUGAAAGCACCAUGAAAGAGUGAUGCAUUCACUCUGAAUCCACCAUACGCAAUUAAGGAAGAACUCCUUUUCUCAAGCACAAGCUAGCAAAAUAAUAGCCCGACAUGACAAAAGCAUGGAUAUGCUCAGCAAAAAAAAACUAGCUAGUUGUUGAUAACUCCACAGUAAUAGCCAUUUUUGUGACACUGGCUACUUGAAGUACUUCAAACUUCAUGCACCCGUGCGUGUGCGUCGACUAAUCCUAAUGCCCACCACCACACAAAUCAACAAACUUUCUGCGAUAUCAAUGCCUAUGAAUUCAUGCUCAAAAGGGAAAGGGCAAAAAGAUUAACACUACACAGAGAGCAUGCACUCCAAUUCACACAGACAUCACCACAAACAGUUGGUGGGCAACCAGGAAAAAAGCAGCAAGAUCACAUUAUAACCCCCGUUUUCCCUGGUUACUGUCUAUGAAGAAGGAAGGACUGUAGAGAAGACGAGAGCUCACUCGGUAGGACCGCGAAGACGACAGCAGCAGCAGGACGCUGUCAGAGACCGGGAAAGAGAGACGGUCGGAACGGGAGCGCUGCUAUGGCUGUUGUGUCUUUCACUCCAUGGCAACCGGUGGGUGUCACUGAUUUUAUGAUGCAAUUUUUAUUUUAUUUUUAAUCAUUGAUAUGUUAAUUUUAAAUUAGUUUUGUUUGUCUCAACUAAUCAAAACUCAAAAGUCACUUUUAUAUUUUUCCCAUAAAUCUAAAAUAUCAUUUUUAAUUUCAAAGGAUUAUGUAAGAAUUACAUGUGAAUAUUUGUAUUUAUAUUUAUCUAUUUCGAAACGAUGUGUUCUAUUUAAAAAAAAAAAAAGAAUCAAAAAGUGUGCUCCUUAAAAUAAUCAAUAAAAAAAUUUACUCCAUUAUUAUUUUUUUUAAGAUUAGGUUUUAAGGAAAUUGAACUUUGUUGCGCAUGAGUAUCAUUAUCAUUGCCCAAUACUUAAUACACGCAGUCUCCGAAAUCAUACAAUAAAUUAUGUGGGUUGACAGCGUGCCACACCCGGUCAAUAAAUUUGACUCGAGAGAGCUUAUGGGCCCUCAGCCUCUUAACCCAUUUUGAAAGGCACAUUUCUUUGCAUUUGAAUAAGCAAUUUUUUUUCUUGGACUCAACCCAUGGUUCGUUCAGACGCAAUCAAAUCUGUGCGGAGCAACGGAGGAGACAGGCAAGAGCCUUUGGGCCCUCUCAAAGUAAGAGAAAAAUAGGGACAACCAUGAAUGGAAGGAAGUACAUUAAUACUGGAGAGAGGGUUCUAUAGUCUAUAAACUUUCUACAUAAGGUUUUUUUUUUUUUUUGGUCGAAAGAUAGAGAUCAUUACUAAUAAGUUGCGGAACCACAACUAAGUUCGGAAUCAUUACAUAAUAAAACCCAAAGUGGAUGAGGGGGAUAUAAAAUCCAAUUGCAAGGAAGACGGUUGUCCCGGUGGGCUCUUGCUAUCCAAUCGGCGGGCUUGUUUGCUCCUCUAUGCACAUAAGAAACGGAGACGCCUUUAAGUUGGGCCAACAGCACUUUGCAAUCCUCUAAAAUUAGUUCCACUGUCCAUGGGCUUGGUGCAAAGCCCAUCAAGCUGUCCAUCACAGUUUUGCAGUCAGAUUGUACUUAACUUUCUACAUAAUGUUUAGUAAUACGAUAAAAUGGAAUAGUAUAGAAUAGUGAGUCGACAACAAAUUUGGAUGGCGUCGACGACCACAUUGACCACAUUCAAACAAGAAAAUGGUGGGCUCCUCAUGUAACUCCUUUAGAAAAAAUAUUAGGUACAAUAAUCGUAUCCUAUCAACAAUACACUAGUUCAUCAACACGUGUUAAGGGGGCCCACAUUUUCUAAUUUUUUAAAAAUCUCUUUUUCACUAAUCUUUUCUCUUCCAUAGACACCCCUCCCUCUUUUUUUCUUUCUCCGUCUUCAUUCAUCCUCGUUCUCCUCUCUCAACCCUCAAAUUCAACGCAUGGUCGCGCAGUCUCCAUUUUUUUGGUUUCGCACGAAAAUGCACAAAGCUCCGUCAGCUUGUUACCUUAGCUCGCGCGGCUUGGACCUGACCAAAGCCUUCUUCAAGUCAAUCCAGUACACCCUCCUACAGCUGUCGUCCUCCAAGUGGCAAGUACCACAUCAAGAUCGCCAUCGUCGGGGUCGACAACGUUGACAUGGCCAUCACCCUUACCAUCCUCACCCCGGACCUCACUUAACGAGCUGCCACUCAUCGACGCUGACCUUCACAAGCUCUACGGCGAGAUGCUUGACCUCCAGCACGCCACCGCCUUUCUCUCAAUGGUUGACGAAGGCCGAGAUCUUAGUGAAGGCAAGACGGACUUGCAUAAACACCAAAAUCUUUGCCUCUGUUGUCGAAGGAAAAAGAGACGGAUAAAAAAAUUCUGAGGACUAGUUCGGCUUCCAAUUCCAAUGCUUUGAAACUGGGGCCGCACGAUCGCAUUGGAAAUCGAUUCAGGACCCGAGUUCCGAUCCCGUUACUUACCAAACGUAACAUCCAUGCACGUGAUUUGACCAAACCUCACGUAAGAUUUCCGCACUCUCAAAUAUCGCUGUCGUCCGGUCAGCCGGUUAGCACUGGCUCACUGGACGGCGAGAGCCGUCGAACGGAUCCCUAAACGACCGUGUAAUAUUCCCGGUAAAAUUACGGGACAGAAUUGUCUCCCCGACCGGGAGAACAUCCGUUAUAACUCUCUUUCCUCGCAUCUCCUUUUCUCUCCAACUGCCAAAUCCCCCUCGCGGAUUUUCUCGAGAAAAAAAGAGCAAAACUCCGCUUCCGCAAUUUUCUCGCUGCCGGCGCUCUUCUCUUCUCCUUCUCGCUGCGGCGUGGGAUCGUGCGGGGAUUUUGAGCUCGGCAGCGAGUUUCUCGGGGCCGAGGUUCCUUUUGCUAUUUCCGAGGAGAGAGAAGCUCGUCCCUUCGCCUCUCUAUUCGGUUGGAUUUUCAUCAACCGAUCGAGGCCGACCCUCUCGAAACGCCCUCUUCUCUGCGUUGUAUCUCUCUCUCUCUCUCUCUCUCUCUCUCCUGCUUUUUCCCGAGGGAGAAAAUUCCAAUCUUGCUUUUGGGUUCGAGUGAAUUUGACGAUUUUCCGAGCGCUUUGAUUGGGCUCGGAUUGAAUCUUUUGGGGGUUCUGCUUGUGGCGAUAAUGCGAGUGUAAAAAGCGCGUCCUUUUUGUCGGCUCGUGAAGCUUCCGCGGCUGUUGUGGAGAGUUUCGUGAAAUUUUAGUGUAAUUCAUCGUGGUCCCGAGCUCGGCUCCGUUCGGUGGCUCAUCUUUCGUCGUCGCCAGAAGCGUUGGGCUGUUUCGAGGGGUUUUAUCACGAAAAACAUAUCUGUUUUUUAUUAGAGAGGGAGAGGAGAUGUGGCGAGAUGACGAUGGGUCUUAUGCCGGGUAGCUCUGGGUACUUGAACUUGUAUCCAGAGCGGACAAUGUCGUAUUUCAGUAAUCUAUAUGUGCUGGGAUUGACUGUGACUUCCGGUAUAGGCGGACUGCUCUUUGGUUACGACACUGGUACCGAACAUCUUGUGUUGUUUUCCAUGAGCAUGGUUUACAUCAGUAAAUAUCUAUAUGCAUUUUCCGCAUGUUAAUCGUUGUGUACUCGUUCCUCUCUAAGUACAUGUGCAGCGCGCAAAUUUGUUGAUUGCGAUUAAUGAUGUUGCUCAUUUUCUAGUUUUCUCGGGUGGAAUAUUGUUUUGCUUGCACGUACUAGUUGUUAGAUGUAUGCUUCUCAUGAGUUAUCUGAUUCCUUCCGAUGCUUCUUGAGAUUAGGUUGAUAUAUGUCGAUGGCCAAGCAAUUUGGUUGUAAUUUGUUAUUUGGCUAAAAGUUCUGGAGCAACGUAUGUUCACUUGUGUCUAUCCAGAAAAGAGUUGGUGUUUGCGGAGUUGGUCGAAUUUGUUAAACUGCAAGUGCAAAUGUAUGGGAAGUCUAUGCAUUAUUCUGUUAGUAAUCUUGAAAUUUAUCUCGCAAUAGAAGUUCAUGAACCAGGCCAAUUUUGGAGCAGCUUCGUGAUAAUGGAACCAACCAGCAAAAAGCAUUAAAGCUGCAAAGACUAAUGCACCAAUUGCGGUACAAUAAAGUUGUAAUUCACUAGUUAUUCCCGAUGCUUGUCAAAUCUGAAAAAAAACCAGAGGUUAUUUGUAUUUCUCGGAAACCCCGGCCCACAUCGCCAUUCAAUAUUUCUUGGCCCACUAUUGGCCAAACCACCUGGGCACUAGGUCCAAGUGAGUAGGGUCACUUAGCCAUGCUUCAUAAUUGGAAAAACGAGCACCAUGGAAAUACAUGCCACUCAGCCAAAGAAAGAUAAUGGAAAGUUUCUUAUCUUUAUAUACAGAAGCAACAUUGCUGGAUAUAUACUUUCCACUUCAAGAUUUCUUACGCAGUAUAUUUGUUUUUCAACCUUGCUUUACCUGUUGAUUUGUUUGUUUUUCUUUAUAAGUUCGAACACGGGCAAUCUUUGAAAGGUUUUGGUUCUGCUUGAACUUUGGUCACACUAUUCUCUAUUUCUGUGACCCAGCUGAAAAGUUCUUUGGCGCAUUAUCAGCAUUCAAGAGCACCAUAAUAUUCGUUGUGCUAUCCCCAGGUUUAUGGGGGUAAAUUCCCUCUCAAAAAAUUAUUUUUUUCCCUCCAUCAUUUUCUUUUUCAUGGUUCUUAACAUCUUUGCGAUUUUGUCUUCCCUUCCAUAUGUUGACUGGAGGAUUAGAUAUACAAGCUUAUUAGUUGGUUUGAGAUGUUUUACUGUAACAGAUGGUAGGAUGCUGCUUCACUUGUAUAUAUUUUUUGAAAAAGGGGAUGCUUACAGGAUUUACUAUUUAAUAUCCCACUGCGCUUGUGUAUCCAGAAAGAGAGUCAUAAAUUGAGAUUCCUUACGAGUGAUAAGCCUGUCUUCUUCAGAAAUUUGGUUAUUCUUUUGAGUGUACUUCACACCAAAGAGGGGCGCGUUGUAUCGAUAUUUUCUGGAAUUAUAAAUUAAGUACUCUUUUGCUACUACUAGGCCAUAAUGACUUGCUUGUUACAGGGGUCAUAUCUGGGGCGCUCCUGUAUAUUAAAGAUGAUUUUGAGGCUGUCAAUGAGAGUAGCUUUCUACAGGUACGAAAAGAGAGCNNNNNNNNNNNNNNNNNNNNNNNNNNNNNNNNNNNNNNNNNNNNNNNNNNNNNNNNNNNNNNNNNNNNNNNNNNNNNNNNNNNNNNNNNNNNNNNNNNNNNNNNNNNNNNNNNNNNNNNNNNNNNNNNNNNNNNNNNNNNNNNNNNNNNNNNNNNNNNNNNNNNNNNNNNNNNNNNNNNNNNNNNNNNNNNNNNNNNNNNNNNNNNNNNNNNNNNNNNNNNNNNNNNNNNNNNNNNNNNNNNNNNNNNNNNNNNNNNNNNNNNNNNNNNNNNNNNNNNNNNNNNNNNNNNNNNNNNNNNNNNNNNNNNNNNNNNNNNNNNNNNNNNNNNNNNNNNNNNNNNNNNNNNNNNNNNNNNNNNNNNNNNNNNNNNNNNNNNNNNNNNNNNNNUCAACCCUCCCCCCACUUUUUUUUUUUUUAAAUUCUUAAAUUUAAAAUUUUCUUAUUUUUUUUUUUAAUUUUAAAAUUUUUAAAAUUAAAAUUUUUAAAAUUUUCUUUUUUUUUAAAAAAAUUUUUGUUAAUUUUUAUGCUGAUUUGGAGCUCCGGCGAGCCACGUAAGCAAAAAAUAAUAAUAAAAUAUUGCCACGUAGGAUUUCCGGCAAGGGUCGCCGGAGGUGGCACUUAAGUGUCCCACUCGAAAAAAAAAGUGGCACUUAAGUGUACCGUUUGGAAGUUAUGGCACUUAAGUGUCCCGGCGUGCCAAGUUAUGGCACUUGUGCUGUUCUUCUGCCGAUUUUUUUUUUAAAAGUAUAUUAUCCUACUCUGAUGAGUCCAGAAUGUGUCAAAGCCAGAAGGAGGAAAAAUCCAGAACCAGACUUGUCAAGGUUACGACAUGGAUCUAGAAUUAGACUGAUUUAGAAACUAAUCAUCAACAUCUAGUUAUCUGGCAAAGGAUUUCACUUUCCAUAUAUAAUUAUAUUGAUUGAGUCAAUAAAAAAUUGACGAAAUCAAUCCUAAUAAUAAGUUUCAAAUGAGAAAGCUUCACUUAUGGAAACUAAGAUUCUAUUUGUAUGGAUGACCAGAAUCAAGUAGAAAUUCCAUCAUUGUCUUCAAUGGCUAUAAGAUCUCUUUGAAUCAUUCUAUCCAAUGGGUAGAUUGAAAGAAAAUCCUCUGAUGAUUGGCUAAUGACUAGUGCAGAAUAGAGAAGUAUUUAAAGAUGUCAACUAGUCAAGAAGAGAAUGACAUGAAUUGAAAAUUACGAAGUUUGAAACUGUUCUCAAUUACUUGUCUUUUUCUGUAAACUUUAUAAAUUGUGAUUAAGAGAGACAAAAAUACAAAAAUGGCGUCUUAGUGAGCUAAUGUGAUCUACCAUUGAAUGUUUACACUAAUAGUUAUAAACUAUUAUUGAUCAUAUAGUGGAAUUAAGCCAGUAGGCUGUCAGCAUAGGAGAGUUGACGUAAUUUUAAUCUAAGCUGAACCACUAUAAAUUUCGUAUGUAAUAUUAUCUUCUCUUAACUCACUUUACUUAAGUCUGUUGUACUUUUAUAGGUUGUCUCAAAAUUCCGGUGACUUGUAUAACAGACUCUGAUCCUUAUUUAGAUUUUGUUAGCAACUUUUCUGUGAUUAUUUGUCAAAAUUUCUUUUAAACAUUUAUUCGCCUCCUCUAGGUGUUCAUAUUAGCUUCAUCAACCAGUUCAAUUAUCUCAUCUUCAACUUAUUAUAAUCGUGUUUUGGCACAUUUCUCCAUGUAGAGGGUGAUAUAAGUGACUCGGGAUACAUUUGAUAUUGAUUAUUGUUGCUUUCCAUCGUUGAUGAUCUAAGCUCUCCAAUUGCAUGAGGAACAACAUGCUAAUUUUGUACUCAACCUUUCAGUUUGAAGCCAAGAGUUCCGGUUUGGUUCCAUGCAGUUUUUGCCAAUUUUCACAUUUUUCUCGAACAGCAUAAUUGAACCUAAUCGAAUUGAGAUGACUCUUAGAUUGGCAUUGCUAUCACAAAUGGUACACAACCAGGAGUAUAAUAUAUUUCAGUUUAUUACAUGCUAGGAAAUUACGAUCACAAAUAGAGACAAGAUUAAGAGUAACAUAGCUAUAAGAUACUCGAAAUCUGGUGGGCGGAGAUCGAAGCCGGAUCAUGCUUAGUUGUCUUAUUAGACGAGCUGGAACAACCAUAAGCAGAGCAGAAAGUCUGUAGCGCCAUUAGCAGAAAGAAUAGGAUGGUCGCCACCAUCACCAGGACCUUCCAAGCACGAUACACAUAUCGCUCUAUCAUAUUCUGGGUCUUGAUGCUGGGCGCAGCAUUGUAGAACUCGUUGACUUUCUUGAUAGUCUUGUCCAGUUCACAGUCCCCGUUUACUUCGAUCGAGUCACUCAUUCCAUUGAACAGACGUGUCACGUCGUCGUCUUUGAGGUGGCCCGUGAUGAUACUGCCUUUCCUGAGCAACUUCACAUCGUCCGGGGUAUCAAUUAGGCCAUCCAUUAGCUCCACGAAGCGAGCAAACACCAAGGGACCAGAGAUGGCCAUCGCCUCGUACGCCACCAAGUUCCGUAUCACAACUUCUGAGUUGACACCAAGUUGGAUCUCAGGAAGUUGAAGUGUGCAUGUUCUCUCUUCAAACCGUAUGUCCUUUAUGAACCGCGUCUGGCUGAAUUUUACGCCCGCUUUGGCAAGAGAGGAUGCUGUCGGGAUCAAUGCCUUCUCUUCAGGGGAAGCUUCUUCGUUCCUGGAUGAAUCGAGGCUUGACUUUAGUUGAUGAUAGAGAUCCGCAAGGCCUUUCAGCAUCUGAGCAUGGGGCAUAAUUGUCUCCAAUAAAGUUGAAGUCGAGCCCAAUAAAGUUGAAGUCGAGAUCUCUACUGAAUAGCAGACGGGCCGCGCAGACAUAAGCUCCGGACGAGCAGGCCCGCUAUCAUGUUUUUCCAUAUCGAUGAUGUCGGCGGGAAUACUGAUCUUGAACUCGUCCUGUCUCGGCACAACCAUGCUGUAAAGAAGAUCCAACAAAUGCGCGCGCUUCAAAACCUUGGCAAGGUCGUAGUCUAUGGUUUCUUUAAGCGGCGACAGAGCUUUGCAAAACCCCACCAGCAUGAGGGGGAAGGUCCCUUCGACAAUAGUCUUCCGCUCGGCGACUUGUAGCGGCAAGCACCCGACUGUCAGCAUCUUCUCCGUGAAGAAUAUCGGGAUUUGAUUCUCCAACAUCAUGACGUCCCUCAAUAUGGCGUCCUCAGUAAGCUUCUUGCCCGCGUGGUCGGCUAGGCCCUGCAAAUAAGGAGACGACUGGAGGGUCUUCUUGUUGAUGCCAUGCUGGCAGAGCAGAUCAAACAAGAACAGCGCAUCGACGGUCAUGAUCCACAACAACAUGUCAGUCUCCAUGACCAAGAACUUGUGGUAACACGUGCGGAUAUAGAUGUCCAACUUGGAGAGCGUGCUCUUGAGCUCCGCAAAGCUCAAGUGCUGGAACUCCUUCUGGAGAUUCUUCACAACGUCGAGCUUGACUCGCUCCAUCUCCCUGAGCUGAGGCUGAAGGUGGUGAUAGGGUCCUAAGCCGACAAGUUGGGGGGUAUAAGCCUGAGGCUUGGUAGAGCUGACUGAUUUGGGGACUUGGAAAACGCAGACAUUGGAAGGAAUGUCCUUCUUGAGCUCUUCGUUGAAAUUGGUUUGGACAUGAUGGAACCAAUCUCUCAUAUCUUUGGAUGAAGAAGGCAUUGUUGAUGAUCAAACCUAGAUCAGCUCGUUUGGGUAUCUACAGAUUCGGUUCUGCACAUCAUCCUAGCUCUACUGCCUUGUUUAUAUAGAGCUGAGCUUUGCCCAUCUCGCCAUUAAACCCUGAGAAAAAAAAAUUAGAAAAUUAAAAUUUUAUGUGCUAGACUAUGAUGAUUGUGUUAAUGGCACAUAUCAAGGCGUCACAAUAGGUCUUAAACCCAUAUAUGGCCAAUUUAAAUCAUAUUUGAGUCAUAUAUGAAUCACUUACAUUUUGAAGUGGGUCAUAUAUGAGCUACUUACAUUUUGAAGAGACUAAUUAAAUGGGUUUUGAAUGGGUUGAACUUGAAAAUCCAUUUUUAAACCAAGCCUCACACUCUCUCUUUCCCUCUUUAACUUUAUAAAAAUGUUUUUUUAAUAAAAAUCGAAAUUAGAAUUAUUUUUUAUAUUUCCUUUUUCUUUUUCCUUUUUCUUUCCUUUUUUUUUUUUCUUUUCUUCUUUCUCCUUCUUUAAUUGGUGGUCGGCACAACGAUAGCCAACAACCAAUUAGGUAAGGCUCAAGCUUGCUGGAUCUAGCAAGACUCAAGCAAGCUUGAUCUCGUUGAUCAGGCAAGGCUGAGGCCUCACUGAUGACUAGUGAGGCUCGAGCUUGCUGGAUUUGGCAAGACUUGAGCUCAUCGACGUCGGGCGAGCUUGAUCUCACUGGCGCCUCAUUGAUGACUGUUGAGGCUCGAGCUCACCGGAUCUGGCAAGACUUGAGCUCAUCGAUGUUAGGCGAGCUUCAUCUCAUAGGCAUUGAGCGAGCUUGAUCUCACUAAUCUGACGAGGCUGAGGCCUCACUGAUGACUAUUGAGGCUCGAGCCUCACUGAUCUAGUGAGAUUUGAGCUUAUUGGCAUCGACCGAGCUCGAGCUUGCCAAUCUAGCGAGGUGGAGGCCUCGCUAACAAUUAGUGAGGCUUGAGCCUCAUUGAUCAAGCGAGCCUUGAGCUCGCUUGUGGCCGGUUGCCAGCCGUCAUCGUGGCCGGCGGCCUGUCAAAAAACAAGAAAAGGAAAAAACAAUUAAAAAAUUGAUUUUUAAAAAAAUAAAUAAUAAUUAAAAUUAGAUUUAUUAAUAAAUAUUUUUUAUGAAAAUUAUAAAACUUGUCUAUCAAAAUUGUAUUGCAUUAAAGUGUUUUAGCAAUACCAUUUUAAUAAAUACAUAAGAAAUAAGCUUUCUUAGGUUUAGUAAAGGUUUUUAGCAUUUUUAUUUUAUUUACUAAUUUUUUAUUGCUUAAUUUACUUUUUAAAUUUGACGUGAAGUUUUUAUUAAAGUAACAUAUAUUUGAAGAGCUUAAAGUUAAUUAAACAGGUGAGAGUGGAUUAAUCUAAAUUGAGUUAAAUAUUAAUGUGUUUCGAUAAUAUGUGUUAUGUCGGGUAUGGAUUGAGUCGAGUAUGAGUAAUCAAAUUUACAUUACAUGAAAAUUGGUCAAAACUAAUUAAAUGUGUCAAUAUAGAUCGGACCAUUUUCGACCUAACCUAACCCCACCCGACCCACCCAUUUGACAAUACACAUAGGCAUGUGUUGUCAGUCUACACAUGAGACCUUUUCUUGCUAGAAUUCAGCAGAUAUACGUCUAGAAAAAUACCCAUAACACGCGUAAAAGUAUCUUGCACUCGAAAUUGACGUAUCAUGAAAUUGAGCGAAUGUUCAUGUCAAAAUAUCUUGUUUCUUCUAUAAGAUUAUAUGCGGUAAGGUGGGAUAACCCUUAUGAGUGAGCGCGGUCAGUUUGUAUGUUUCGAACUUACAUAUGUACAAUUGAUUGUGCAUUGGCUAAUUGAUUUCAAUAAUUAACGGGAUAAAUUAUAUUCUUUCUCGUUAAAAAAAAAAAUUCGACAGUAAUUCAUGAUGCGUUUCCAUCUACUGUAGAUUCAUCACUUGUGUUGUGUGGUUUUUGUUGGGACUACUUGUAGAAUUUUCAUCCGAGAUUCAUUUAGACGGGGAUGCAAGUUUUUCCCAACACAUUUCUCGUGUUUUUGUGGAGGGAAAGUCACUUUCUUUUGAUAUAAGACUCAACCCCUAUUGAAGAUAAAGUAUAUCAAGAGUGCCAAAACUUGGCAUAGGUGAACAUUUUAGUGCCAAAAGUACACUUAAGUGCCACUUUUUAUUUAUUUAAUUGGGACACUUUAGUGUUAAGUCCGGCCAAAUUAACAGGAAAUAUGACAUGACUUAUUUUAAUAAUAUAAGUUAUUUAUGUGACUCACCGGAAUGCUUGCUCGGUAAUGAAUGUGCAAAAUGACAUUGUUUUGCCCCUAAAUUUAUUAAUUUAAUAUUAAUUAGAAAUAAAUUAAAAAACUAAAUUAUUUUUAUAAAAAAAAAAACAAAAGAAGAAGAACGAGCGGCAGGUUCAACGAGGGAUGUGGAGACCCAUGCCGAACCUACUGCUAACAUUAUUUUUUAAUAUUUAAAUUUUUAAUUAAUAUUUAUAUUAAAAAUUAAUUUUAUGGGCUUUUUUACUGACAUGGAAAUUUUUUCCAUGUAGAUAAUUUUUUUAAAGAAUUGCCACAUGGAUGAUAUUUUAAAAAAAAAAAUUUGCCAUGUCAAUAAACAAAGUCGCCGAAAAAUACCACGUCAGCCGUGUGGCCGGAGUUUCUCAUCAUAGACACUUAAAUGUUCCGUUCUUUUUUGAUUUGGACAUUUAAGUGUACUUUUUGAAAUUUUUGACAUUUAAAUGUCUACAUGUAUCAAGUUAGAAGCAAGGCCUUGUUCCAUUUUGUUUGGUCCACGUUGACUCAAAAGGAUUACGGGUCGUAAUUACUGCGGAUAACCACGCAUGGGAUGAAUUUUUUUUUUGACGCGAAGGAGAUUAAAAUCCGGGUUUUCUCCACAAGUAGUUUUGCCAUCUUUUGGCUCUCAAUUCUGUUUUUAAGGAUUUUUUAUGGCACAAGGUUUUUGUAGAGACUCAAUUUGCUUACGGGGCUAUGUUGGGAAAUCGAAUUGCAUUUGUCCUAAGUGGACAUUGUUUCUCGACGAAUAGUUAUUCGAUGGAGCAUGUCAAGGUACGCUUUCCGUAUUUUUUUCAUGCCUUACUUCAUAUCCACACCAAACCUCAUGUCAUGUGAUUAUUAUGUUGACUCCAAUCCCGAGCCUGACAUUUUUUCCCGAAGAAAAAUUAUUCAAUAAAAUAUACUCAGUAUGUGAUCCUAGCCAUAUUCUCUUUUCAUGCUUCUUGUCAUGCGAUUGUUAUGUUGACUUCGUGUGAUUCCAAACACUUGGUAGUGACAUUAACUCCAAUCCCGAGUCUAACAUUUUUUUCUGAAGAAAAAUUAUUUGAUGAAAUAUAUCCAACACGUGAUCCUUACUGUAUUCCUUUUUCAUGCCUCUCCUGUCUUGCGAUUAUUACGUUAACUUCAUGUGAUUCCAAACACCUAGUAAUUACAUUGACUCCAAUCUUGCGUGAAAAAAAAAAAAAAAAUCAAAGAAACCCAACAUAUGAUCCUCGCCGUAUUCUUUUUUCAUGCCUCAUGUCAUGCGAUUGUUACUUUGAUUUCAUAUGAUUCCAAAUAACCAGUAGUUACAUUGACUCCAAUCCCGUGUGAACAUUUUUUUUGAAAAAAAAAUUAUUCAAUGAAAUAUAUCGCAGCGUGUGCUUAUUUUUGUCUUUAGUUAAUGCCUCUUAUGUCAACUCCAUGUGACUCCAAACACCUGGUAGUUACAUCAUCUCCAAUUCCGUGGGAACAUUUUUUUCAUGUGGAAGAAUUAUUCAAUGAGAAAUACCGUAGCGCAUGGUCCUUUUCAUCUUUUGUUUACACCUCACAUCAUGUGAUUGUUACAUUGACUCCAUGUGGUUCCAAACACCCGGUAGUUACAUUGACUCCUAUCUCGUGUGAACAUUUUUUUUCAUGAAAAAAAUGUAUUCGAUGAAAUAUAUCGUCACGCAUGGUCCCUUUCGUCUUUUGUUUAUGCCUCACAUCAUGUGAUUGUUACGUUGGCUCCAUGUGGUUCCAAACACCCGGUAGUUACAUUGAUUCUAAUCCUGUGUGAACAUUUUUUUUUUUUUGAAGAAAAAUUAUUUGAUGAAAUAUACCGUAGGGUGUGGCCUUUUCGUCUUUUGUUUAUGUCUGCCAUCAUGUGAUUGUUAUGUUGACUCCAUCUGGUUCCAAACAGGCAGUAGUUACAUUGACCCCAAUUUUGAAUGAACAUUUUUUUUCUUGAAAAAAUAUUAUUCGAUGAAAGAUACGGCAACGAGUGGUCCUUUCCAUUUUUUUUUCUUGCCUCAUGUUAUGUGAUUGUUAGCUAACUCAUUGUGGAUGAUAUGUUGACUCUAAGUCUCAUGUCAAGUUUUAGUUACAUCUCCAAUACCUUGUCUAACACUUUUCUUUCUUGAAGAAAAAUUGUUCGAUAAAAUAUACCGUAGUGCAUGGUCCUUUUCGUCUUUUGUUUAUACCUCACAUCACGUGAUUGUUUUGUUGAUUUCAUGUGGUUCCAAACACCCGAUAGUUACAUUGACUCCAAUUCCAUGUGAACAUUUUUUUCUUGAAGAAAAAUUAUAAGAUGAAAUAAACUGUAGUGCUUGGCCCUUUUUCUCUUUUGUUUAUGCCUCUUACAUUGACUCCAUGUGGCUCCAAACAUCCGGUAGUUACAUUAACUUCAAUUCUGUGUGAACAUUUUUUCUUGAAGAAAAUUUAUUGUAUGAAAAAUACCUUAGUGUGUGGUCCUUUUCAUCUUUUGUUUACGCCUCAUAUCAUGUGAUUGUUACGUUGACUCCAUGUGGUUCCAAACACCUGGUAGUUACAUUGACUCCUAUCUCGUGUGAACAUUUUUUUUCAGGAAAAAAAUUUAUUCGAUGAAAUAUAUCGUCACGCAUGGUCCCUUUCGUCUUUUGUUUAUGCUUCACACCAUGUGAUUGUUACGUUGACUCCAUGUGGUUCCAAACACCCGGUAGUUACAUUGACUCCAAUCCCGUGUGAACAUUUUUUUUGAAGAAAAAUUAUUCGAUGAAGUAUACCGUAGCGCGUGGCCUUUUCGUCUUUUGUUUAUGUCUCCCAUCAUGUGAUUGUUAUGUUGACUCCAUGUGGUUCCAAACAGGCAGUAGUUACAUUUACCCCAAUUCUGAAUUAACAUUUUUUUUUAAAGAAAAGUUAUUUGAUGAAAUAUACCGCAAAGCAUGGUCCUUUCCAUUUUUUUUUUAUGCCUCAUGUCAUGUGAUUGUUAGUCGACUCAUUGUGGUUGAUACGUUGACUCGAAGUCUCAUGUCAAGUGUCAGUUACAUUGACUCCAAUCUCAUGUCUAACAUUUUUUUUUUGCUUGAAGAAAAAUUAUUCGAUAAAAUAUACCAUAGCGCGUGGUCCUUUUCAUCUUUUGUUUAUGCCUCACAUCAUGUAAUUGUUAUGUUGACUCCAUGUGGUUCAAACACACGAUAGUUACAUUGGCUCCAAUCCCAUAUGGAAAUUUUUUUCUUGAAGAAAAUUUAUUCGAUGAAAUAUGCCACAAUGUGUGGUCCUUUCCAUUUUUUUCAUGCCUCAUGUCAUGUGAUUGUUAGUUGACUCAUUAUGGUUGAUAUGUUGACUCGAAGUCUCACGUCAAGUGUUAGUUACAUUGACUCCAAUCACAUGUCUAACGUUUUUCGCUUGAAGAAAAAUUAUUUGAUAAAAUAUAUCGUAGCGUGUGGUCCUUUUCGUCUUUUGUGCAUGCCUCACAUUAUGUGGUCGUCACAUUGACUCCAUGUGGUUCCAAACACCCAGUAAUUACAUUGACUCCAAUCCCGUGUGAACAUUUCUUUCUUCAAGAAAAAUUAUUCGAUGAAAUAUACUGCAACACGUGGUCCUUUCCUUCUUCUUUUUUUUCAUGCCUCAUGUCAUGCGAUUGUUAGUUGGCUCAUUGUGCUCGAUAUGUUGACUUCAAGUCUCACGUCAAGUGUUAGUUACAUUGAUUUCAAGCCCCCAUAUAAAUUUUUUUUUCUUGAAGAAAAAUUAUUCGAUAAAAUAUACCCUGUGGUCCUUUCCAUCUAUUUUUCAUACCUCAUGUCAAGUGAUUAUCACACGGACUCCACGUGGUUGAUAUGUUGACUCCAAGCCUCGUGUCAUGUGGCAGUUAUAUUGACUCCAUUUCUGUGUCCAUAUUUUUUUCUUGAAGAAAAAUUAUUUGAUGAAAUGUACCCAACACGUGCUACUUUCCGUCUUUUUUACCUGCCUCAUGUCCUGCUAUUGUCACGUUGACUCCAUGUGGUUGAUACAUUGACUUUAAUGUUAACGCAUAGACUCUAAGCCUCAUGUAAUGUGGGGGUUACAUUGACUUCAAUCCUGUGUAACAUUAUUUUCUUGAAGAAAAAUUAGUCGAUGGAAUAAUUAUUCACAUUUGGAAUAAUGUGGCACAUGUUUACUAGAUCGAGAUUUUUUUUAUGACGUAGAAUUAAGCUUGCUGUGAAUGUGACAUUAGUGUAAUAGUUUUGGAUUUUUCUUCUUUUUUUUAGAUAAUAACCCUAGAAAAUAAGAAAAGUUGGUUAUUUGCAAACUGUUAAUAAGAGUUGAUAAUUCUAGUUUUCUGACACUUAUCGACUCUGGAAAUCUCCAACACAAGAAAAAAGUCCAUCUUUUAACAUCAAGAUAGAAUAGUCCUUAGCCGAACUCCUUAUACAUCCUCGCAGUGCACCUACCUAACUAAUGAAAUUCCCUAGCGUAUAUUGCUAGAUGCAUAACUAGCUGAGUAAGUUAGCCACUCGAAUUUGUUGGAAUCUCGACCACAUAAGCAGCAUGUGCAAAUUAGAAGUGUAAUUAUGUUUGGGGGGGGGGGGGAGGGAUUGUCCCAAAAGUUUUAAAUCAAUUGUAUUUUCUCCAAUUUAAUCUUAAACCUUUUAAUUGUGCCAACUAAAUUUUAAAUCUUUUCACGUUUAGUCAAUUAAAUUUACUUGGCCAAUUUUGACUGGAAAUUGCUGACGUCAACGAUAUCAUCUUACGUGGCAUGUUUGACACACAGGUUGGAUUUUUAAUAAUAUUUUAAUUUACUUUGAAUUUUUAUUAUUUCCUUUAUUUUAUUUCUCUCUCUCUUUUUUUCCUCGCUUGGGCAAGGCCUAGUUCCAACAAGAGACCCUUUGCUAAAUCUAGCGAGGCCAACCCUUGCCCACGCUAGGACAACCUUGCUGAGCAUUGCUUAGGCAAGGUUUGGCCUCGUUAGACCUCGCUUGGGUGAGGGCCACCCUCAUCAAACUCCUCAAGUCAACGACCUACCCUCUCUCCUCUCUCUUACGGAGCUCGUGGCCAUGGGAGGCUCGUGCGAGCUCGGUGAGCUUUGUGAUAGAGUCCACAACAACCAUGCCACCAUGGUAGCGGCCAUGGAAGACCAAGGUCGAUCUGUUUCUAAAACAGGUCACUCAACCGUGAUAUAGACCAAAUCUAAGGCAACGAUCAUUGUUAGCCUCAAGUUGCGAAUUGAUGAAAAUUGAUGACCAUCACUAGCGAGGAUUACUCUGGCCUAGGCUAGGGUGAGGCUCGCCAACCCUUGCCCACCACAAGAGAGGGUUGGCAUCACUAGGGCACUCUCCUCACCACUAGCAAAAAGAAAAGGGAAUGAAAAAAAUUAGUAAAUAAUUUCAAAAACAAUUAUUCAAAUUGUCCACAUCAACAGUAGUCAUGUUACGUAAGACAAAUGAUGUUCAUAUCAUUAAUUUCUAGCCAAAAUUGUUCGAAUGAAUUUAAUUAGAAAAUGCGAAAAUGUUUAAAACUCAACGUACAAUUAAAAUGUUUAUAACUGAAUUGACAAAAGUGCAAUAAACUUAGGACUAUUUGGAAAAUUGUCCCUAAUGUUUGUGCGUUUAUUAUGCACUUGUAAUGAAUGUUUGGCUUAUCUGAAACAAAAAUUAAAGAAACUAAUAUUGUUUACGAAUCUAAAUCCCUAGUCCGAAAGAUACAAGUUGGUCACCUAUAAUCAUCUGAUACUCUAAAUUCAAGUUAUCGAAGAAAGAGUUUAAUUGGGCACCUAGAACUUUCGAGUAACACUAGUAAGAAUUCAUUAUCUAGUGAAGUAUAUGUGCAAAAUCUCAGAGAUUUAGCCCUAGAGUUCGGUUACAUAUGCGUGUGUCACGGGCCGAUCGAUUGGGAUCGUGACCACGCGGCGACUCGGGUAACUUUGGAUCACCCAAGCCAAGUCUUGCUCGAUCGAAUGCUUACCCACUCGCUUACUCGGAUUGUUGAGAGAGAAAGUUAGAGAGAUGAGCUCUGAAAGGAAAGGAAAGCUUUGGUAUUACUGAAAUGGAUUGGAUGAUUACAAAUGAGGGAGGACAUCCCUUUUAUAGUUGAGGGCCUCGGAUUACAUCCGUUGAUCUACUUUUCAUCCGGCGGACGAGAUCGCACCACCUCAACUACCGACAUAAAUAUUCAACUACCGUCUAUUGACAUUGAAGAAAGGAAACUUCUAGAAUCAGGCGAAAUGACGGUGUCGCCCGCCCUUGGAAACUUCAGGGAGAAGACUUGGUGGGAAUCCGAGUGAGAGCAGAAGGUCCACAGGUGAGUCGUGAUCACCCCUUGGGAACCUCUUGGGUCGACUCUCUUUAGGCCCGUGACAUUCUCCCCCACUCAAUUGAGCGACGUCAUCGUCGCUCUUAGCUUGACGGGCAGCCUUCUUGGCACGAGCGCGGGCUUUGGCACGGGCUCUCUUGUUCUUGUUUUGCUUCGAUCGGAUGCUCAUGAACGAAAGGUCGCAACCUUCUAUGAUGAAGUCGGACUUGGUAUGCGGCUCGGUCUUCGGCUUGGACUGAGCACGCGGCGCGCACUCAACCUCGGGGAAGAGCGCUUGGAUGGGCAUGGCAUGUGCUGGAGUAGGAUCCAACUUGACCUUUGGCUUCACCUCGGACAACUUGUUGGUGCGCAUCAUAGCCUUCAAGCUCUUGUCGAGGCGUCGAAUCGACGCGAUGGUCUUGGUGUCGACCAUCCCUUUGAUCACGGGGACAUACGUCGGGUACUCCGGAUCAAGGAUCACGAGGCACUUGGUCCUCAUAUCGAUCAAGGAUCUCACACUAUUGAAGAAUUGCAUACCAAGGAUGAGAUCAUAAUCAUCAAGAGGGAUUACCUCGAAAUCUAUCUUGCCCCUCCAAUCACAAAUUUUGACGUCCACAUCCGAAGUCGAUCCUACGCCACGGACGCCCUCCAAAUUGACCGGCUUGAAGGUAUUCCCGGUCGGCUCCACACGAAGGUUCAAGGCCUUCGCCACUUCUUUCGACAUGAACAUGUUCGACGCACCCAUGUUGAUCAAGGCAUAUAGCGUUCGGCCGCACACAUCGACUUGCACGAAGAACAUUUCUAAGUCCGGCAUAGCUUCUUUUUCUUUGGUUGGGGACCGAGCUUGGAUGGAGUUGAUCAUCUUCACGGCUCCAAGUCGAAUUUGUCUCUUUUCUUCUUUGGACUCCUCCUUUUCUUCCUCAAUGGCAAGGAGGGCGUUGAUUUGACCCUUCUUCGGGCACUUUUGGGUCCAGUGCGGACCUUGGCAAAUGAAGCAAGGAGAAGGCGGGGGUUGAUCGAACCUACUCGCGUAGUCCGUUGGUGGUCGACCCCUUUGGAAGGAUGGCUUGGAAGUUCCUUCUCCCCAUGUUUUGACUCGGCCACCUUGAUCGUGCGUGCCCCGGGGAGCGCUUUGUGCUUCAUCCUCGCAAGGUUGAUCCAACCUCCAAUCCCUUGGUCGACUCCUUGGUUCGGUCUUGGUAAGGUCAACGAGCGACUCGGCCACGCUUAGUGCUCACGCGAGACUACUCAUGUCCUGUCUCUUGAGCUCGAGAAGUGCCCACGACUUCAAUCCAUCCAUGAACACUCUGAGAGCCUCCUAUUCGCUUAGGUUGUGAAUCUGGAGUUUGAGCUCCGUGAACUCCUUCACGUACUCUUGGAUCGUGCCUCUUUGCUCGAGGCAAUGGAGCUUGCUACGGGCUUCUUGCUGAGCGAACUCGGGGAAAAAGUAGUCCUGGAACUCUCUCACGAAGUCGUCCCAUGUGCACACAGGAUCGGCACCACGUCUAACCUCAUCACACCUAUUGCGCCACCAAAGCAUUGCCGUAUCAGAUAGGAACAUGGAAGCGGUUCGUACCUUGGUCGUCUCGUCCUGUAUGUUGACGGUGCCGAAAUAUCGUCGACCAGAAGAAGUUGUCCACCUCCUUGGCGGAUCGUUCGCCUUUGAACUCCUUUGGCUUUGGCACCUCAAGUUUGGGCACCGCUUGGGUAGACAAAGCCCUAUUGGUGAUGCUUAGCUUGCACAGGGCGAGCUCGGUCUUGAGCUCUUGGAUCUCGGCUUCCAUGGCUUCUUCCUCGACCACUUGGAUGCGCUCCUUCAACACAUCGAUCGAUGCUUCAAGGGUUUCGUCCUUGUCGUGUAAUGGCGCGGUAGCUUCGUUGAGGCCGGUCGUGAAGUCUUCACGGAGCGAACUCUCAACCUCCAUGAUCCGGUCUCGCACAUCGUCAAGACCUUCCAUGAGUUUGAGCACGGCGCUCCAGACCUUCCCAAUCUUCUCAUCGAACGUGGCUAUGACGUCCAUCGAGGCGUCUCUUUUCUUUGCUCGGCCACGGGUCUCCUUGACUUGCGCGGCCUCUCCAUCCAUGACAGCUUCUUAGCUCGACAUUUGUUCGAACAGUUGGCGCUCCUUGGUCUCUCGAACGGAUCUCUCUUUUGCUUUGAUACCACUUGUCACGAGCCGAUUGAUUGAGAUCGUAACCGCGCGGCGACUCGGGCAACUUUGGAUCACCCAAGCCAAGCCUUGCUCGAUCGAACGCUUACCCGCUCGCUUACCCAAAUCGUUGAGAGAGAAAGUUAUUGCUCGAUCGAACGCUUACCCGCUCGCUUACCCGGAUCGUUGAGAGAGAAAGUUAGAGAGAGGAGCUCUGAAAGGAAAGGAAAGCUUUGAUAUUACUGAAAUGGAUUGGAUGAUUACAAAUGAGGGAGAACACCCCUUUUAUAGUUAAGAGCCUCAGAUUACAUCCGUUGAUCUACUUUUCAUCCAGCGGACGAGAUCGCACCGCCUCAAUUACCGACAUAAAUAUUCAACUACCGUCUACCAACAUUAAUGAGAGGAAACUUCUAGAAUCAAGCGAAAUGAUGGUGUCCCCGGCCCUUGGAAACUUCGGGGAGAAGACUUGGUGGUAAUCCGAGUGAGAGCAGGAGGUCCACGGGUGAGUCGUGAUUGCCCCUUGGGAACCUCUCGGGUCGACUCUCUUUAGGCCCGUGACACGUGGAUAUUACUAAACUAGCAGCCUGCUAUGCCUUUUUGGUACGGCAACUCUUUGUGGUUGAUGAAUACCACAGAUUAAUUGAUUAUUUUCCCUCAGUCCAUUCAAGCAUGACGAAUACACCUUUCCAUCAAAGUUGGAAAGUCAGAUAUGCACUGAGAGAUUGCACUUUGAUCCAACCUCCUUAAUCCAUUAGAUUUAAACUUGUCGAUGACAACGUAUUUCGAGUCUCUUUUCUGCCUUUCAAUCCCUUUUGCCUCUUGUAAAAUUAGGGUAGUACAAAAGCAAAACUUGUGUUUCAUCAGUCGGUAUCAGUAUCACAACACUCAGAAUUUAUAUAACCAAAACUUUGCAGGCCAGAAGAUUUCAAUCCUAUUCUACAAAACCAACUGGGCUCAAGCCUUUUUAGGUAAGGCCCGAGCCCAAACAAUCCAAACAAGGCCCAAUAGCUGCUGCACUGCAAGAUCAUCCCACUGAUGGGAAAUCGAAAUGCCCAUCCCCUGUUCUCUAUGGAAAUUCGGGGUCCUUCAAGGAAUGAACUCUUGGUAGGAGAAACAAUGGGCAUUCUUCUUUAGAUCCAGGAUGCAAUUUUUCAAUUUACAGAGGUGAAUUUUUCGUGGAGAUUCUCCAAGCGGUCCUGCUUCAUCUCGACGGCUCCAUGUUGCCGACCUUGCAAUGCGCUUUAAUGUUCCUUGUAUUGAUGAGCUCUAAUCUCUUGCCACUUCCUGAUCUUGUGCUGAACUGAUCCAUCCUUGUCUUAGACCCCUCCUUCAGACUCCCUUUCCUACUCAGUAAAUUCGACACAGAAGGUUUGCAAGACCUGGGAUUUUUGUGAUCCAAGAUAAACUUCCGAGGUGACAUACUCAGGAAUCGCGCUGUUUCAUCGGAAUCCCAAUCGAAUCUCCUCUCGGAGGGCCAGAAGAAUGGCUCAUUGUUAGGAUUCUCGUAAUCUGCAAUUCCAGGAAAAUCUUCUGAAGAGAGAUCGCCUGGUGAAUUCCCUUGCGUCGCUUCCAGGAGAGAUGAUCCGGUAGAGAUUGAGGAUGUUGCUCCAAGGCUGUAACUGCGCCGACAGGAUGGGCUCGGGAAAUCUGACUGAAAAUUCUCCAAAUCGGCAUCCACGUCGCAGAACAACUUUGAAUCUUCCUCAUCAAGAUUCACCAAAGAGACCAGAUAACUGAGUGUGUCCUCAUCUGAACUUGGAAACGAUGGCGAAUCAAGGUUCUUCAUGGAGCCGGAUCGACUCCACAAACAUUCUUGACCUGCGGAUUCAUUUCUCAAAAUAUCACGAGACCGGGAAAUCUCGGUUGAAGUGAUUAGCCAAUUUUCUGCAUCUGCAUCAUCGUUCAGAUCACCCACAUGGAUAAAAUCAAAAUCCAGGGGGGUGCUUGCAAAAGCCAAAGAUGCACCUUCAUUGCUCAAACGAACUCUUGAUAACCAAGAGCUAAACAAUUUAUCAACAAGUGUGUAGGAUCCUGACAAAAAGUAUUCGUCUACUAAGAUCGAACGAGGUGACCAACAAUCUGAAGACAACCACACGCACUCACUAUCAUCGGAACCAAAAUGAGUUUCCUCGCCAAAAUCGGCCUUUCCUAACUUUGAUGAACCUGUGCCGUUCCGUGCAGUUCUGAGAACUAGAUCAUUCUUUUCAGCAUAUAACAUCCUUGAUUCUCUGAUGGUGCAGAUCGAACCCAUUGUAAAAAACUUAUCUGCUCAUUGGCUUGAAGCAAUCGUCUUCGUCUUCAUGGACAUCGGUGAAACUCGAUUCGUAAUUGCCCAAGAGCUGUUCACUUGAAUCACGUUGAAUCAAACUCCAGCAUUUUGGACUGUUGCAUUGGAUUAGCCGGUCGAUUGGGACAUUUUGUGAAUAAAGAAGUUGAGGAGAAAGAUCCAGAAUUUCAAUAAGAUCGGCACUCCCAGAAGAGGUGUCGGACAAGUAUAUUGAACGAGAGAUCAAAACAAACCACAAAAAAAGAGACAAGACAGGAUUGAACGUUACCAGGAUACUGGUCACUUAAGCAGUAAAAUAGUGAAUAGAAAGAAGAAAACAAGAAUGAAUUCGGAAGAAUGAGGCUAAACAAAGGUAAUUACAGUUAUUUGGGUCAAACAAACCAAAAGUCGAAGGAAUCAACUAGCCAACCCAAUAUAGCAACUUAAAUUAGAGGAAAUAUAAAGUCAACACUGUGUUGUGGCACACAAGAAAGAUUUGAAAUUUCAACCUUGAAGAGGUCAGAUGGAACACCCAAACUAGAAGAAUUCAAGCCUGUUUUAUUAGAUCAAAAUUGUGCAUGUGUCAUCCCAGUCCCAUUGAUCAAUAGAUUGAUCGCAAGAAAUAAGCAAUGUACACAGAGAGAAACACCAUUUGAUUAGAGAGGAUGAUUGGAAUGUUGGCUGAUUCCAAAGGUAAUUGACCCCUAAAUUUGGAUCUUUUUGACUUUUUGAGCUUGACUUCGCCCCCUCUUUAGAACGUAUCAAUAAAUUAGGCCCACUUAAGAUUUUGAUUUUGAGAUCAAACUAUUGUUAAUUUGUGGUGUCGAUGUGACACAAAACUCAUUUAAGUUGUAGUACAAUUUCUACAAGUAGUUCCUUAAAAUUUUAAAAUGACACAAGCAAGCUUUAGAAAGUUUUUAAAUUAAAAUGAGUACUUGAACAAUGAUUAUUCCAAUCGAAAGGUUAAGGAAGAAAAGGGAAAGAGCAUAGAUUUCAUUAAUGGUCAAGGUAAUCUUUGGUUUCCCAUCAUGGUUCCACCAUGAUAAUCUGGUUGAUCUAAUAUUAAUCUCUCCAUUGAACUAGUAAACUUACACAUUACUAACACUUACAAUUAGGACAGAAGGAGCAUAUACCCCUAUAUCAUUACUCAAGGGAGCACUUCUUUCGAGGGCUUAAGCAUAUAAGCCGAUAGAAAGGUGAAAACAUCAAGUAAAGGACAUAUUUGAAAGUGCUAGUAUGAACUCCUAGAAGGGGCUGAAUAGGUGUAAGAAAAUUUUUCGCAAAGAACAAUAGAAAUAUUUCAAUUUUGAAGCUGAGUUUGAAGAGCAGUUGACUUUGAGCAAAAUCAGACUUUAGCAGUUAAAUAGAACUACGGACAAAAUAAAGGAAUUUAGGGAAGAGAACAAGAACACAGAUUUUAUAGUGGUUCGACUUAGAUUAAGUCUACAUCCACUCUCCUACGCUAACAGCCUUCUAGCUAGAUUCCACUAUAUAAUCAACAAGAGAUUUAACACUUAGUAGUAGAUCACACUAUCUCACUAAGUCACUUUUUAUUUCUCUCACGAUCACAAACGUUUAAGCUCACUAAAGACAAAUGUAUGAUCGAAGUUCGCUCAGAUUUUGGAAUUAUAAAUUCUACACUCCGUCUCUCACUUGCUUAUCGGUCUUUGGUCUCCUUAAAUACUCCUCCACUUCCAAACUAGCCGUUGAACAGUAUCUCGAGAAUCGUCUUCUAAUCUACCCAUUGGACAGAUCUGUAUCUAGAAUAUUUGAUAGCCGUUGAGUGAUAGAAGUAGAAUCCCAAAUUGAUUCUGAUCGUCUAUAUAAACAGAAUCUUGGUUUCCAUAAGUAGAGUUUCUUCGUAUAGAAAGUUCUUGUCUUCAAGAUCUAAUUAUCAAUCAAUUAGAUUAAGUCAAUUAAAUCAAUCUUGAUGUAGAAUCCAAACUAGAUCCUAGCUGUUAUACGUUUAAGACUUGUGUUACAUUCUGUCUCGUUCUAGAUGUAAAGUUUGAAAGCAGUAGAUUUUACAAUCGGAGUCUGAAUGCAAUAGACUUUGCAAUCUAGACGUAAGUCUGAACAUAUUCUGCUUCUGAACAUAUUUAGCUUUAAGGUUUAAACACAGUAUGAAUAAGUUCAGCUUCAACAUAGAGUUUGUCUUCUAGUUUUUCCAAGUAUAGACUUUGAUAAUAUCCUUUACAUAAUCUAUCAGCUGCAUACUUUGUUGCUCAACAAUUAAACACAUUAGUAGCCUUUGAUUUAUUUUGUCAUCUUCAAAACAUCAUAAGAGAUUUUUCUAACAAUCUCCCCAUUUUUUAUGAUGACAAAACAAUAUCUGAAUAUGUAGAUGUGUAAUCAUGCUUUUAAAGAUAAUAAUAAAUCAAGGCAAUAAUAAAUCAAGGCAAUCUUAAGAAAUAAUGUAAUUCAAUAUAGCAAAUAGAUUGAGCAUAUAAUUAUAUAUGUAAAGUUAAUCGCAAUUCAAUAAAUAUCAAUACAUAUGCAUAUUUAUAUUCUCUCCCCAUUUUUGUCAUAAUCAAAAAGCAAUAAUAGUGGAAAUAGUAUCACGUGAAGAAUAUAAAAUGAUAACAAAUAUCUUGCAUGAAAUACAAUUUCCAAAAAAUCAGCUUUUACAAAGUAAGUCGAAUAUAAAAGAUAUACAAUAUAGUUCACUUCAAUCAUAUAUAUCAGCAAAUAUUCAAUAAAAAAUCACGAGUGGAUUAUAAAAUUCACUUACUCUUUUUGUUAUAAUAAAACGAUAAUAUAAAUAAGAGAUUUGUUAAUGACAAAAGGUAAUAAAAGAUGCACUAACUGGAUUUGGUAAAACUUAACAAGUUCUAUCACUUUUACAUUUCCUUCUUUCCAUAAUAAUCAAGAUCACGAUCAAUUCAAAAAGAUUUUUCCAUAAUUGAUCAAUGCUCCCCCUCAAUUUGUUGCAUUUUUGAGAUGAUCAUGAUUCUUUCCUUUCUCUUGGAUUCUCUUUCUCCCCCUGUCAUCAUGACAAUAAUUGUGAAUAGCACUAAUUGUGGCUUGUGCACAUUGAGCAGAAUAUUUUUCAAUUAUUUCCUUCGUAGCAACAAUAUCCACACCAAUCAUUUGCAUUUUAAAAUUCGAGGCAAAAAUUUAUUUUCUUCAAUCAAGCUCGUCUCGAAAUCAAUCUGCAUGAACUUAACGAAUUUUUUGCACAAAUAAGCUGUAAUAAUAUCCACAUUAUAUAUGCCCUUUCUUCAAAUAAAUUGAAUAGCAUAUUUAAAAUUAUUGAUUAUUAAAAUUCCGAACUAUUUAACCUUCCGUACGACACAUAAGAGAUUUCCUCAACAAUUUGCAAAAACUUUGCACAAGGAAGGGAAUUUUUUAGCCUCCAAAAAAUAGGAUAGAAUCUCCACAAUUUUUUAAUCAAGCUUUCCAAAAUUCAUAUGGAAGAUUCUAUUGCCACCUGCAAAAUCUUGUAUAAUAGAUAAUAAUCUUUGCAAAAAUGUCACGUAAUACCUUCCUCCAAUUUGCAAAUCAAACUUGCUAGAUGUAAGAUAUCUUCUAAGAAUAUAGCAAGAAUAUCCAUAAAUAUGCAAUAAUAUCUUUCAAAAUCAAAGGGAUUUCCUUAAGCAUAAAUCUUAAAAAAUAUAUUAUUGAUGCAUUUCGCAAAAAGAAGGUAGAUAUUUUUAUCACGUGCAAAAUUAAAAAAAAAAUGCAAUGCCUAAUGUUUAUAAAAAAAAGAUAUUUGCAAUAUAAAUCACAUAUAAUUCAUAGGCAAUCAUGAUAAAUGUAUGUAGAGAUUUGUAAGGCAGGAAAAAAAAAUAUUCUCUUACCCAAGGUAUAUGUUUGCAAUAUACCAUUGAUUAAAAAAAAAAAUCAUUACCAAUCUUCGCAUGAGAUACCUAUUUGAUUGCACUUACGUAAACUCGCAAUCAUUCUUCCCUUAUAGAAUUUAUUGCAAUGCACUCAUUUCCUUUUUGGUAUCCAUUAAUUUGGAUCCUUCCAUUUCUUUAGAGUAGAAUAGAAAAUCUUCAAGAAUAAUCAAAUAUUCUUUCUAAACUCAUCAAAACAAAGUAUUUAAGGAAAGAAUAUUAUGCACAAUAAUAUCUUGAAGAAGAAAUUCUCCCUUGGUCAUAGCAUGAUAAAAUUAAGAAGAAUGAAAUCUUUGAGUAUCUAGGAAUAUCUUGCAUAAUAAAUUAAUAUCUUAUAAAACAGAUUUCUACUUUGCAAAAUAUGACAAUUUGAGAGCACAAAAUCAAACCAAAUAAAUUCAUUUCUCUCUAAGCAAACUAUUAAAAAAAUAAUCACACGAUUCUUUCUUCAAGAAAACAAAUCAAAGAAUAUGAUCAUUAUAAAAUCUGAAUUGAUUUAUCAAAUAUCAAGCAUAAUAACAAUUAUGUGCCCAAAAAAAAAAACAUUCCUUACCAAAUUCUCUUUCUUCUUUUUCUUUAUUUCCUGCAAAAACAACUCAUCUUUUCUUUGGUACCCAUUUUUUCUUGGGUCCAUGAGAGUUAGUAGAGUAUGUUGUUUUUAUCCAAUCUUUCUUAACAUAUCUCUAGACUUUAGGACAUUCUUUCUUAAAGUGUUCCAAGUCUCCACAAUUUAAACAUUUGAGGGCAUUUCGGCCAACAUGUAUUGUAAAGAUCUUUUAAAAAUGCUUCUUGUACGCAAUUCCAGGAGGUAUUUGUUUAAGUCUCUCCUUAACUUUAGGAAAAUCUAUUAGAGAAUCACUUUUCUUUUGAAACCAAGUCCCGACUUAUUAUAGUAAGGUACGUGUAUGGAAAGGAUAUGCUCUAAUGUUUUUGAACCAUUUGAAAAUGUUGUCGAAAUAUUUGAAAAUUCUUUUUUUAAAGAAUUAUUUUCUUUGACAAGUAAAUCUCGACUUUCUUUUGUUUGUAGAAAAUCUUUUUGUAAAAUUUCAAACGUUUCUUUUCGAGAAAGAUCCUAUUGCCUAAGCCAUGAAUUUUCAUUUUUUAGUUCGAAGAUCCUUUUAAGAGAAGAUUUGAGAUUUAAGCAAUGCUCAUUUAUAUACUUAAGAAGUUUAGUAGGAAUUCUUGAAUGGCUUACCAUGAUUUCCAGAUCGGAUUCUGAGUUUGUGUCUAAGUCAGACUUUAAUUCUGAGUUUGUGUUUGAGUCAGACUCAGAUUCUGAAUAUGUCAUCAAGCAUAUAUUUCCUUGCUCAUCAUCUUCUUUUAUUGUUCUUUUCUGGCCAUUCUAUUUGUAUUGUCUUUUUUCACUGAAUUUCCUUCAUUUUCUACUCAGUUUUUUGAAUUUCCUGAUCAUAAAAGCAAGUUCUUCGUCGUCCAUGUCAUUUUUUGAGUCUAUAUCAUCAGAAUCAAUGUUAGAUAUUAAAGCGAUGGACUUGUUACCUUCCGAAUCUUCUUCGUUGAUUUGUUCCACUUCGUAGGAUUGAAGAAUGCCAAUCAAUUCAUCAACGGAGAGUGGCAUAAUCCUCUGAGUCUCAUGGAUUGAGGUCUUGACAUGGUUCCAAUCUUUUGAGUGACCUAGCAAGAGUUUGUUGACCUUUAUUAGGGAAGAACUUGGCUGACCUUGAUAUACUAAACCAUUUACAAUUUCUGUAAAACGGCUGAACAUAUCUCCAAUCGACUCUCCUUGCUUUAUCUUGAAAGAUUCAUAUUUGCCGAGCAGGAAGUUUACUUUUAUCUCUUUUACAUGAUUAGUCCCUUCAUAAGUGACAUGAAGUCUAUUCCAAACUUCUUUUACUAUUUCACAUGAAGAAAUUCUGUUAUAUUCAACAUGAGACAAGGUGCAAUAUAAAGAAUAAAUGGCUUUUGCAUCAAGAGCUUCUCUUUUGGACAUCUCCGUCCAAGACAUAGGAGCAUGAGGUUUGGUUUCUUUGUUUUUGCUAUUCUUAUUUGAUGUAGACGCAGCAGUGUGAUUGAUUCCUUUUUUCCACAACAUUCCAUUACAAGGGAUCUCUAGAUCUUAGGAAUGCUUUCAUUUUGUUCUUCCACACGUUGUAUUCAUUUCCAUCAAAAUAUGGAGGCUUGGUGUUGUUUUGCUCUUCCAUAAGUCCUUAUGCCAAGAUACUAGCCAUAGAAAAUCUUUAGCUUAAAAGUAAAAAUGCUUUUAUAAACCAAGCACUUGGCUUUGAUACCAAUUAAAAGUGCUAGUAUGAACACCUAGAGGGGGGUGAAUAGGUGUAAAAAAUUUUUUCGCAAAGAACAGUAGAAAUUUUUCAAUUUUGAGACUGAGUCUGAAGAGCAGCAGGCUUUGAGCGAGAUCAGACUUUAGUAGUUAAAUAGAACUAUGAACAAAAUGAAGGAGUUCGGGGAAGAGAAAAAAAACACAUAUUUUAUAGUGGUUCGGCUUAGAUCAAGUCUACGUCCACUCUCCCACGCUAACAGCCUUCUAGCUGGAUUCCACUAUGUAAUCAACAAGAGAUUACAACUUUGAGUGCAAACACUUAGUAGUAGAUCACACUAUCUCACUAAGUCACUCUUUUGGUACUUCUCUCACGAUCACAAACGUUUAAGCUCACCAAAGACAAGUGUAUGAUCGAAGUUCACUCAGACUUUGAAAUUAUAAAUUCUACACUUCGUCUCUCACUUGCUCAUUGGUCCUUGGUUUCCUUAAAUAUUCCUCCACUUCCAAAUUAGCCGUUAGACAGUAUCUCGAGGAUGGUCUUCCAAUCUACACAUUGGACAAAUUUGUAUUUAGAAGAUUUGGUAGCCGUUGGGUGAUAGAAGUAGAAUCCCAAAUUGAUUCUGAUUGCCCAUACAAAUAGAAUCUUGGUUUCCAUAAGUAGAGCUUCUUCGUAUAAAAAGUUCUUGUCUUUAAGAUCUAAUUGUCAAUCAAUUAGAUUGAGUCAAUCAAAUCAAUCUUGAUGUAGAAUCCAAAUCAGAUCACUAGCCAUUAUACAUUUAGGACUUGUGUUACGUUCUGUCUCGUUCUGGAUGUAAAGUCUGAGAGCAAUAAAUUUUACAAUCUGAGUCUGAGUGCAAUAGACUUUACAAUCUAGAUAUGAGUGCAAUAGAUUUUACACUCUGGACGUAAGUCUGAACAUAUUCUGCUUCUGAACAGAUUUAGCUUUAAGGUCUGAACACAGUUUGAAUAAGUUCAGCUUCAGAAUAGAGUUUGUCUUCUGGUUCUUCCGAGUAUAGAAUUUGAUAAUAUCAUUUACAUGUUUUAUCAUCUACAUAGUUUGUUAUUCAACAAUUAAUCACGUUAGUAGCCUUUGAUUUAUUUUGUCAUCUUCAAAACAUCAUAAGAGAUUUCCCUAACAAUAUUAAAGUUGAAGACAAGUAUCAUUGCCAACUCUCAAGUUUGUCCAGCAACGACUUCCAAAAUUACUUUCAAAGCAUUCCCACAAUAGAUUAGGAAGCCAGAAAACCCUAAAAUUACAUAUCCGGGUCACCACGAAUUCUCAAGAAUGUAUGGGGUCAUGCGGAUAUAUUACACUCUGGUGUCCAUAUCCGGACAAGUCUAUCAUAAAAGGAACAAGUAGCAAUCACCAUGUUCUCUCUUUUGCCCUCUUUUUGACCCACCUUUCUGCCAAUCUGCAUCGUACGCAAGUGAGCUAUGCCUACUGUGUGUCUCUACAAUUUUAAUCUUCUCACCCCUGAGAUCAACGAUAGAAAAUCCAUUGUGCAUACAAGCUACCAAGACUACACCGGGUAUAUGAGGAUGUUGCUUGAUUCUCCAAACUCCUCCCCCCAAGCAGAUUGAACUCUGAUUUAUAGGUUUUGAGAUCGAUCUUAUAUCCCAAACUCUAAUGUGUUCAUCGUAGCUACCGGUAAGGACGACAUUAGGGUCGGAUAUGCUUUUCGUGAUGCAGCAAACACCCAUUUUAUGUUCCUUGGAAUUUC